rnacentral:lncRNA from 1 species
AUGCGCGGAAGCCCCCCCACCACAGUCCCUCAAAGGAAGGAGCGUUUCCGGGGGUCGGUGCCUUCUUCUAUGGCAUUGGCCGGGGAACCCAGGCGCCCAAUUUCAAAAAGAGCCAAUAGUUUGGAGACUCUGGAGCAUCACAUUCAGGAGCUUAAUUCAGAAGCUCAAGGAUAUGUGAGAAGAAGGAUGCUACUUUGGCCAUUAUUUCCAGACAUCUUGUCCUCAUGUGAUCAUCCUCAGCAUGGACAUGGCACAAGAGAAGAUGGAAGUGAAGUUGGAGCUGAUGACGAAUGCCGCCACCUUGAGAGGACCCAGACACAUCCCUUUGAGCAGUGGAUUUGGGUAUUGCCCAUGUUCCUGGAAUGCGGAGAUCCUAACCCUCAGCCUGGUGGAGAGGGGCCGUGAGACGGGCUGAUCCAAAGGAGAACACACAUUCUGCCACUGGCUGAUCCUGCACAUCCUCUAGCAGUCCACCUGGACCCAGAAGCAGCCAAACCAAUUGGUGUAGAGAGCGAUUUCUUUCUAAUUUCACCCCAUCUCUUGCUCCUUUGAACAAAAUGAUUGUGCUCUGCACUCUGCCUCUAGCCCUUGUCAUGACCAAUUUUGCACACUUGAGGUGAAAAUGUUUGUCAAUCAAAUAGCAGACCUUUUUUAUAUUUGUUUUUAUUUGAACAAAAAGUUUAGGUACCACAGAAACUUGAUUUCCGAAAUUACAGGUUCUCAAUGAGUAAUAGUUUCCCCUUAGGAGGAAGAAAAUUGGUUCUUGGUGAGUUUUGAAAAAAGUUUAUUCUUUCUCUAUAGAAAGUACAGGUACACAUGUGGUACAUAGACAGUGCACCUGCGGCAUUAAAAUUUGGUGAGUGGCAAGUGAUUAGGGAAAAAUUGUAUGAAAAAGGCUCUGUAGAAAUCAGAUAAGGGAAAAAUUAGAACUUCUGUAGUAAAUGACAGUUAAAUAUUUCUUGUACAUAUCCGAAGGUUUGGCUCUACUAAUGCUCAUUAUUUCUUCAAGUUUUAAAAUGCAAUUCUGGGGCUUGGGAUGCAGAGUAGUGUUAGAACACUUGCUUACGGUGUGAAGCCAUGAGUUUGACCCCCAUCACCACACACACAAACACAAAAAAGAUUUUAGAGCUCACAUCCAAGUUUCAGAAGGUUUUCUAAAUGUUAUAAAAAGCCUGAAAAAUGCAUUCACUAUAUGUUAUUUGCUUUACUUAUCUGCUGUGGUAGCAUAUCAAUUUAUAGUUGUAAUGUACACAUCAUAGACUGUCAGAGAUCAGAUCAGUCCUCUUUGUUUUAUGUAAUAAGAAACUGAGCCUCUCAACCAAAUCUCCAAAAUGACAUAGUGACAGAGUUAGUUCUAGGAACCAGUGUCUCCUGGCUCCUAAAACCUAGUGUUCUGUCCACUCCUGAUCAAUAUCUAAGCUGAUUAAACAAAUGGAACUUUCAAGUCAUUUGAGGCAAGAAAGAAUAUAUUGUCAGAAAAUAUAAAGGAAACUAAGAUUGACCAGAAAAAGAAUACAUUACCUUUUAAAACUAGACAGUUGGAAAAAUAAAGGCAGCAGGAAUGUUGUGUGGAGAACAGUCACAUUUUAUAGACUCAGGAUUUUUCUCUAAUCCUGCUAUGGAAAUAAAAGAAUUAAUAUGAGACCCAGCCUGCUAGUAGAAGAGAGUAAUAAGGAGAAUGUUGGAAGUUUUCUGCCAUUUUUUUUGCGGGGAGGGGGCUGGGGAUCAUUGAACCCUAGGGCCUUAGCACACGCUGAGAAAGUGCUCUACCACUCAGCCACACCGAAGCUGAUGGAUACUGGUUUUAUUGGGGAGACUUUCUGAAAAGAAAUAGGUUGCAAAGAGAUAAUGGAGGUUAUAUGCUUGCAGAAAUACAUAAAUCCUGUUUAAUGUAUUAAUCACUCCAGGGAGGGAAUGCUUUAGACCCACUUCUCUAAUCCUUAGAGUCCUUGAAGCAAAGAGAGAGCUCAGUUAUCCUUUCAUGCAUUGCUUUAUUGUAUAAUAGAUUUGAAGUUUUUAAAAAAUCAUAUUACAGUAUAUAGAGUUGCAUUUAAUAGCUUACAAUACUGAUACAUUAAAUUCAUUUGUAGACGUAGGUGACGCUUAGUAGCAUACUUACCUGGUAACUAAAGAUAUAGAAACUGCAAAGUAGACCAACUCUAGAGACUCUGUUCUAUAUGAACGAAGUAAGAAGUAACAUAGGAAUUGUGUAUAUAGUGUGCCUGAGAUCAGGAAACUUGCCCAACUGAUCUGAGGCCAUAUUUUGUGCUGUUGUAGCAAUUUUAGUGUGUGUUCAAAGAAAUCCUUCUGAAGCAAGAAAAAUAAAACUGUUAAGUUAGAUUACACCGAGUCCUAGAUGAAUUCAUUUUCACCUCAGUUCUUUACAGUUGCCUAUGUACCCUGCUUGUUUUUCUCAAUUUCCCUUACUUGGGCCUCUAGUAAUUGGUGUCUUGCCUCUUUCUAAACUAUACCUGGUAUUAAAGUAUUCUGUCUGCAGCUUGCUAAAUAUUGUUGUGCCUCUUUCAAAUAAUUUUCUAAUUUUGCUUGAUAUUUCAAUAAAAGUGCCAGU